CAGUAGCCGCGGUAAUGCGAAGGGUGCAAGCGUUAAUCGGAAUUACUGGGCGUAAAGCGUGCGUAGGCGGUUUGUUAAGUCUGUUGUGAAAUCCCCGGGCUCAACCUGGGAAUGGCAAUGGAUACUGGCAAGCUAGAGUGUGUCAGAGGAUGGUGGAAUUCCCGGUGUAGCGGUGAAAUGCGUAGAGAUCGGGAGGAACAUCAGUGGCGAAGGCGGCCAUCUGGGACAACACUGACGCUGAGGCACGAAAGCGUGGGGAGCAAACAGGAUUAGAUACCCCCGUAGUCCCUGUCUCUUAUAC
rnacentral:rRNA from 1 species